rnacentral:rRNA from 1 species
GGUUGAUCCUGCCAGUAGUCAUAUGCUUGUCUCAAAGAUUAAGCCAUGCACGUGUAAGUUUAAGCGAGAGAGCACCGCCAGACUGCGGAUGGCUCAGCAGUCGGCUAUAACCACUUCGUCUUCUGCAAUAGAUUUUUUCCACUGUUAUCCAAAAAUUACUUUCAUGUUUCCACUCUCUGCUCUUUAUUUUUGGAUAACUCUGGCAAAUCUAGAGCUAAUACAUGCACCAAACAAUAUAUAAACUGCAAAUCAAAUCUAGAGCUA